AGCGGCGGACGGGUGAGUAACACGUGGAUAACCUGCCUCAUACAGGGGGAUAACAGUUGGAAACGGCUGCUAAUACCGCAUAAGCGCACAGUACCGCAUGGUACGGUGUGAAAAACUCCGGUGGUAUGAGAUGGACCCGCGUCUGAUUAGGUAGUUGGUGGGGUAACGGCCUACCAAGCCGACGAUCAGUAGCCGACCUGAGAGGGUGACCGGCCACAUUGGGACUGAGACACGGCCCAA
rnacentral:rRNA from 1 species